GUUGGGAAGAGGAAGAAAAGAGGGUCUGAGAGUGGUGGUCAUGGGAACAUGGAGGAAAGCGAGAACUUCUACCUCUAGAAAUAGGGGCUGAGAUUUAUUUCCCUUUUUCCCGAUGCCUCCCAUGCAUGUUGUUCUCCGAUGCUCCCUUCCUCUUCCUUUUGACU
rfam:Triticum urartu cultivar G1812 contig1455367, whole genome shotgun sequence.